rnacentral:lncRNA from 1 species
GCGUUUUUUAACGUUUGUUCGAAAUACGUCACACAUGACGAAUCGCAGUUCGAUUGUGUUUCUCGUUGCUGUCGGACGUGCUUUUCUUUCGCUCUUGGAUUGCGUGCUGUUUUCUGCGGUUUCGUGCCUUUUACAGAGAAGAUUGAAGAUUUUUUAGGAUGAAGACGUUGGUGCGUUGUUGGAGGCGGUUCCGGCGGAGGCAGGCGGUGGCGCCGGAGGGAGAGGGUUCCUCGGACGACGCGGAACGAGUCUGUCGUUCCGUGCCGUUGGAGGAGCGGGGGCUCGACGAGCGACAGGCAGCGGGUGAAGAAGACCUUCGCCAAGUGCGCGUGGCGUGGCAUCCUCCCGGAGUCGGGAUGAUGCGACGCUACACCCUGGGUCCAGUGCGCUUGGCCGAGGUCUUCGGGGGUCAUCCGGCCACAGACCUUGCUGUGGAGGAUGUCGAAAGUGACAGCUCGUCCGAGCUGACACUUUCUGUUUGGUCGUGUUCUGCCCGUUCGUCCGCGACGGCGACGCCACCGCCUGGCCGAAGUCUGGACGGGGAGGAGUCGGAGGAGAGAGCCCCCGAAGUCGAGGGACCGUGCUGUCCGUGGUUUAGUUGCUGCGGACGGCUGCGGUUGCCUUGGCCUAGGCGGUGAUCUUCUUCGAUUUCCUCUUCUUCACCCGGAUGCGACUUUCUUACCGGAUUCGACACUUUUUACCCGGACAUGACACUUUUUAACGGACGUGACCUUUCUUACCCGGACGUGACCCACGGACUUGACACGUUUCUUCACCGGACGCGACAUUCGGCCGACCUUUCUUCCCAAACAGCUGUUAUGAGGAUUGAGCUUCCGGUUAGGGUUGGUUAGGUUAGCCUAGGCUAGCCUAACGAACCCUUCGCUCUUCUCAUAACACUGUUCGGGAAGAAAGGCUGUCUGAUUAAGGUAAUAAUCUUGACCUUAGGUAAUAAAUGAAUAAACUUCUCGUUUUCUCACUGCCUUUGUGUUUUGUAGGAACAUUUGGGAGGGAGAAGAAUCUCCCUCCCCAACUUUACCACGAAGAGGACCAUUUAUCGUACAAGUGAAUAUUUUCCGAUGACAUGCCGAAGAUGUUCUUCGAUCACACACAUACACACACACGCACGGACAUAACACCACUGUACACGAAGAUAUACACCGUUUAACCUUUACUCGAAUUCUCGCACUCACGCACUUACACGUCAAGCGCCUCGUUCUGUGUAAUUCCACACAAUGAAACAACCCGAACACAC